rnacentral:rRNA from 1 species
GCAUCGCAUGAGGCACCUGACCGAGCACGCCGCGUGAGUGAAGAAGGCCUUCGGGUUGUAAAGCUCUGUUGUAAGGGAAGAAGAGAUCAUAGAGGGAAUGCUAUGAUUGUGACGGUACCUUACCAGAAAGCCACGGCUAACUACGUGCCAGCAGCCGCGGUAAU